rnacentral:lncRNA from 1 species
CCGGGUACACCAUCCAUCCAGUCUAUAGGGCCACACCUGGCGGCAUACGAGCUCAGAGUCGCCUUGUACGAUAAGGUGUCGUACGCCCAUAUCCACUGCCACCUGAUGGGAAGCGGCCAAAGGAUGAGACAGGAGGAACAGGGCCCCCAAGGCCCAGGGGGGGUUUGGUGGGUGAGGGAUCGGGGGUUAUCCAAAGGUACAUACAUACGUACAUUACCCCCCGCUCUCGCGGCCCACAGUGUAAUCUAAGUCAUACAUACAUACAUACAUAUAGGCAGGCGGCUGGCAGAGGUUAAGGCCUGACUUCUGCUCCCAGUCGACCCAGUCGACCCGGGUUCAAAUCCGCCUGCCGGCUCCUCGGGUGUUUGAGGAGUGAUGAAAUGGGAGGUGGCCCCCCAUCUUAUGGACGGUGUAGGACGUGAUAAUAUCAACUUGCGAGCUGACCAGGAACUAAGUUGAUGCGCCGUUGAUCCGCUAGAUUUGGUUGGAUGCUGGUGGUGAGUUGCCGAACCCAACGAAUACAUUCUGAAGUCGGAUGGGGUGACGGAUUAGGGUGCCCCUCUAGCAGGGGAGAGCAGGGACUGCCCCGGGAAAGGGGGCCGCUGGCGAAGUUAACCACCCUGUAACAACAUACAUACAUAUAUACGCCUCCAGACGCAGCAAACAUGCUAAGGCGCGGCGUAGUGUCCCCAGAACGUU